UACGGGGGGUGCGAGCGUUGUCCGGAAUCACUGGGCGUAAAGGGCGCGUAGGUGGCUUUGUAAGUUUGCGGUGAAAGCCCGGGGCUCAACCCCGGGUCUGCCGUGGAUACUGCAAGGCUUGAGUACUGUAGAGGCAGGUAGAAUAUCGGGUGUAGCGGUGGAAGGCGUAGAGAUCCGAUAGAAGACCGGUGGCGAAGGCGGACUGCUGGGCAGUAACUGACGCUGAGGCGCGACAGCGUGGGGAGAAAACAGG
rnacentral:rRNA from 1 species